rnacentral:rRNA from 1 species
CCUACGGGUGGCAGCAGUGGGGAAUAUUGGGCAAUGGGCGCAAGCCUGACCCAGCAACGCCGCGUGAGUGAAGAAGUAUUUCGUUAUGUAAAGCUCUAUCAGCAGGGAAGAAAAUGACGGUACCUGAGUAAGAAGCCCCGGCUAACUACGUGCCAGCAGCCGCGGUAAUACGUAGGGGGCAAGCGUUAUCCGGAUUUACUGGGCGUAAAGGGGGCGUAGACGGCAGUGCAAGUCUGGAGUGAAAGGCGGGGGCUCAACCCCCGGACUGCUCUGGAAACUGUACGGCUGGAGUGCAGGAGAGGUAGGUGGAAUUCCUGGUGUAGCGGUGAAAUGCGUAGAGAUUAGGAGGAACACCAGUGGCGAAGGCAGCAUACCGGCGCCCGACUGACGCUGAGGCACGAAAGCGUGGGGAUCAAACAGGAUUAGAUACCCUUGUAGUC